rnacentral:misc_RNA from 1 species
GGGGACCGGAGCCGUCGGAGGCGGGGAGGAGCUGGGUGCCGUGGAAGGCGGGGAAGAAGCGGCGGAUGGAGGGGGGAACGCGGGGGUCGGCGGAGAAGGAGGUGUAGAAGGCGAGCUCGGCGGCGCCGCGGUUGGAGGAUUGGAGGGGUUUGUAGAAGAGGCCGGCGCCGUCAAUGAGGGGGCCGAGGCCGCCGGCAGCGGCGGUGUGGCCGGCGACUUGAUGCUCCGGG